rnacentral:rRNA from 1 species
UACGUAGGGUGCGAGCGUUGUCCGGAAUUAUUGGGCGUAAAGAGCUCGUAGGCGGUCUGUCGCGUCGGUCGUGAAAACUUGGGGCUUAACCCUGAGCUUGCGGUCGAUACGGGCAUGACUGGAGUUCGGCAGGGGAGACUGGAAUUCCUGGUGUAGCGGUGAAAUGCGCAGAUAUCAGGAGGAACACCCGUGGCGAAGGCGGCUCUCUGGGACGGUACUGACGCUGAGACGCGAAAGCGUGGGGAGCGAACAGG